UGGGGAAUCUUGGUCAAUGGGCGAAAGCCUGAACCAGCGACGCCGCGUGAGUGAUGAAGGCCUUCGGGUUGUAAAGCUCUGUGGAGAGGGAAGAAAAAGUUAAGUCGAAUAGGCUUAAAAAUUGACGGUACCUCUUUAGCAAGCACCGGCUAACUCUGUGCCCGCAGCCGCGGUAAGACAGAGGGUGCAAACGUUGCUCAGAAUCACUGGGCGUAGAGCGCGUGUAGGCGGAUUUGUAAGUCAGAUGUGA
rnacentral:rRNA from 1 species